rnacentral:rRNA from 1 species
GAUGAACGCUGGCGGCGUGCCUAAUACAUGCAAGUCGAGCGAACAGACGAGGAGCUUGCUCCUCUGACGUUAGCGGCGGACGGGUGAGUAACACGUGGAUAACCUACCUAUAAGACUGGGAUAACUUCGGGAAACCGGAGCUAAUACCGGAUAAUAUAUUGAACCGCAUGGUUCAAUAGUGAAAGACGGUUUUGCUGUCACUUAUAGAUGGAUCCGCGCCGCAUUAGCUAGUUGGUAAGGUAACGGCUUACCAAGGCAACGAUGCGUAGCCGACCUGAGAGGGUGAGCGGCCACACUGGAACUGAGACACGGGCCAGACCCCUACGGGAGGCAGGAGUGGGGGAUCUUCCGAAAGGGGCGAAAGCCUGACGGAGCAACCCCGCGUGAGUGAUGAAGGUCUGCGGAUCGUAAAACUCUUUUAUUGGGGAAAAAAAAAUGUGUAAGUAACUAUGCACGUCUGGACGGUACCAAAUCAGAAAGCCACGGCAAACUACGG